GUCUGGUACGAAGGUAGUGAAUUAUUUCAAUUGAUUGUUCUCAGUCAAUUACAGAUCAAGCUCCUUGUUCUGCUCUUUCCUCCCUUCUCACUACUGUACUUGACUAAUCUCAA
rnacentral:Y_RNA from 1 species